rnacentral:rRNA from 1 species
CAGCAGCCACGGGAAUACGUAGGGUGCAAGCGUUAAUCGGAAUUACUGGGCGUAAAGCGUGCGCAGGCGGUCUGUCAAGUCAGAUGUGAAAUCCCCGGGCUUAACCUGGGAACUGCAUUUGAAACUGGCAGGCUAGAGUCUUGUAGAGGGGGGUAGAAUUCCAGGUGUAGCGGUGAAAUGCGUAGAGAUCUGGAGGAAUACCGGUGGCGAAGGCGGCCCCCUGGACAAAGACUGACGCUCAGGUGCGAAAGCGUGGGGAGCAAACAGGAUUAGAUACCCCUGUAGUCCCUGUCUCUUAUAC